rnacentral:rRNA from 1 species
AGGGUUUGAUCAUGGCUCAGAUUGAACGCUGGCGGCGUGCUUAACACAUGCAAGUCGAACGAGAAAGUUCCUUCGGGAAUGAGUAGAGUGGCGCACGGGUGAGUAACGCGUGGAUAAUCUACCGGGGAGUGGGGAAUAACAGUUGGAAACGGCUGCUAAUACCGCAUACGCUGCAUAUAUAUCUAUGCAGGAAAGGGGGCCUCUGCAUAUGCUUCCGCUUUUCGAUGAGUCCGCGUCCCAUUAGCUUGUUGGCGGGGUAACGGCCCACCAAGGCGACGAUGGGUAGCUGGUCUGAGAGGAUGACCAGCCACACUGGGACUGGAACACGGCCCAG